rnacentral:rRNA from 1 species
GAUGAACGCUGGCGGCGUGCCUAAUACAUGCAAGUCGAGCGAAGCGGGGACGGGUGAGUAACACGUGGAUAACCUCCUAUAAGACUGGGAUAACUUCGGGAAACCGGAGCUAAACCGGAUAAUUAUCGAUGGCACCCAGAUGCAUUAGCUCGUUUGUAAGGUAACGGCUUACCAAGGCAACGAUGCAUAGCCGACCUGAGAGGGUGAUCGGCCACACUGGAACUGAGACACGGUCCAGACUCCUACGGGAGGCAGCAGUAGGGAAUUUUCCGCAAUGGGCGAAAGCCUGACCAAGCAACGCCGCGUGAGUGAUGAAGGUCUUCGGAUCGUAAAGCUCUGUUAUUAGGGAAGCGGUACCUAAACAGAAAGCCACGGCUAACUACGUGCCAGCAGCCGCGGUAAUAC